rnacentral:rRNA from 1 species
CCAAGGAGUUUAGCGUGUGCGCGAGUCAUUGGGUGUAAAACCUAAAGGCGGAAUGAAAGUAAAGGAAACCUGCUUUCUGAGGGAGGAUGGGUUACCUGCCUUUACAGGCGGUGCUCCGCACUCCCGGGGCGUCUCUUUCUCAUUACGAGUGGAGGCGCACCUAUAGCGUACACGCUGAUACCCGAAAGAUGGUGAACUAUGCCUGGCCAGGACGAAGCCAGGGGAAACCCUGGUGGAGGUCCGCAGCGAUUCUGACGUGCAAAUCGAUCGUCGGAGCUUGGUAUAGGGGCGAAAGACCAAUCGAACCAUCUAGUAGCUGGUUCCCUCUGAAGUUUCCCUCAGGAUAGCUUGCGCUCGGUUGAGACGAGUCUCAUCCGGUAGAGCGAAUGAUUAGAGGCCUUGGGGUCGAAACGACCUCAACCUAUUCUCAAACUCCAAAUAGAUGAGAUCCCCGGCUUGCUUGAAAGUGAAGCCGGGACUCGGAUCAGAGUGCCAAGUGGGCCAAUUUU